CAGAGUGAGGGGGGAGAGAGGGAAAAGAAAAACUGUCUGCUUGUUUGUUUUUCUUUUCCCUCUCUCCCCCCUCACUCUGCUCUUCAAAAA